rnacentral:rRNA from 1 species
UACAGAGGGUGCAAGCGUUGUUCGGAAUUAUUGGGCGUAAAGCGCGUGUAGGCGGCUUUGCAAGUCUGGUGUGAAAUCCCUCGGCUUAACCGAGGAAGUGCGCCAGAAACUGCAGAGCUUGAGUACCGGAGAGGAUGGUGGAAUUCCCCAAGUAGAGGUGAAAGUCGGAGAGAUGGGGAGGAACACCGGUGGCGAAGGCGACCAUCUGGACGGAUACUGACGCUGAGACGCGAAAGCGUGGGGAGCAAACAGG